rnacentral:rRNA from 1 species
GACGAACGCUGGCGGCGUGCUUAACACAUGCAAGUCGAACGGUGAACGAGGGAGCUUGCUCCCUCCGGAUCAGUGGCGAACGGGUGAGUAACACGUGAGCAAUCUGCCCCGAACUCUGGGAUAAGCGUUGGAAACGACGUCUAAUACCGGAUACGACGCGGGAGGGCAUCCUCUCCGCGUGGAAAGAACUUCGGUUCGGGAUGAGCUCGCGGCCUAUCAGCUUGUUGGUGAGGUAGCGGCUCACCAAGGCGACGACGGGUAGCCGGCCUGAGAGGGUGACCGGCCACACUGGGACUGAGACACGGCCCAGACUCCUACGGGAGGCAGCAGUGGGGAAUAUUGCACAAUGGGCGCAAGCCUGAUGCAGCAACGCCGCGUGAGGGACGACGGCCUUCGGGUUGUAAACCUCUUUUAGCAGGGAAGAAGCGAAAGUGACGGUACCUGCAGAAAAAGCACCGGCUAACUACGUG